rnacentral:lncRNA from 1 species
CUUCUCCAUGUAGAGAAAACUGAAUCUGAGCAGAUGAAGGGAUAUGCUCAGGAUCACAAAGCAAAUUAUUGGCAGUUCUAUAAUAGAAAUCAGCAACCUAAAGUACUAAAACUUGAGGACUUCUUACAAGAGACGGGGUUUCACCAUGUUAGCCAGGAUGGUCUUGAUCUCCUGACCACCUGAUCCACCCGCCUCAGCCUCCCAAAGUGCUGGGAUUACAGGUGUGAGCCACUGCACCCGGCCUAGAUGCCAAUUUUCUUCCAUCUCUGCCACCUUUGAGACAGCAAGACCAACUCGCCCUCCUCCUCAGCCUACCCAACAUGAAAACAACAAGGAUGAAGACUUUUAUGAUGAUCCACUUUCAUUUAAUGAAUACUAAAUAUAUUUUGUCUUCCAUGUGAUUUCUUAGUAUUUUCUUUUCUCUAGCUUAUUUCAAAGAAUGUAGUAUAUAAUACAUAUAUCAUGCAAAUUAUGUGUUAAUAGACUGUUUAUGUUGUUGGUAAGGCUUCUGGUCAAUAGUAGUUUAUUA